ACGCUCUUAGUUCAGCGUGGUAGAACGCGGGUCUCCAAAACCCGAUGGCGUAGGUUCAAAUCCUACAGGGCGUG
rnacentral:tRNA from 1 species